rnacentral:rRNA from 1 species
GACGAACGCUGGCGGCGUGCUUAACACAUGCAAGUCGAGCGGGGAUAGUUGAGAGCUUGCUUUUGACUAUUCUAGCGGCGGACGGGUGAGUAACGCGUGAGCAACCUUUCUCUCAGUGGGGAAUAACACAGGGAAACUUGUACUAAUACCGCAUGAGACCACGGUGCUGCAUGGCACAGGGGUCAAAGAUUUAUCGCUGAGAGGUGGGCUCGCGUCUGAUUAGGUAGUUGGCGAGGUAACGGCCCACCAAGCCGACGAUCAGUAGCCGACCUGAGAGGGUGAUCGGCCACAUUGGGACUGAGACACGGCCCAGACUCCUACGGGAGGCAGCAGUGGGGAAUAUUGCACAAUGGGGGAAACCCUGAUGCAGCGACGCCGCGUGAGUGAAGAAGUAUUUCGGUAUGUAAAGCUCUAUCAGCAGGGAGAAAAAUGACGGUACCUGACUAAGAAGCACCGGCUAAAUACGUG